UCUUGCACAAAAUACUCCUAAAAGUGUAGAAAAAAAUUGACAGCCAAAUACGAGUAGAGGAAGACACCUGUUACCACCUAAAAGUCAUCCAACCCAAAAAUCCAAAAUCACAAAAAAGGUCCCAAAAAAAUUCAAUUUUUCUUAGGCACACUAUUUUAUUGUAAUUUCUUGCACAAAAUACUCCUAAAAGUGUAGAAAAAAAUUGACAGCCAAAUACGAGUAGAGGAAGACACCUGUUACCACCUAAAAGUCAUCCAACCCAAAAAUCCAAAAUCAUAAAAAAGUUCCCAAAAAAAUUCAAUUUUUCUUAGGCACACUAUUUUAUUGUAAUUUCUUGCACAAAAUACUCCUAAAAGUGUAGAAAAAAAUUGACAGCCAAAUACGAGUAGAGGAAGACACCUGUUACCACCUAAAAGUCAUCCAACCCAAAAAUCCAAAAUCACAAAAAAGGUCCCAAAAAAAUUCAAUUUUUCUUAGGCACACUAUUUUAUUGUAAUUUCUUGCACAAAAUACUCCUAAAAGUGUAGAAAAAAAUUGACAGCCAAAUACGAGUAGAGGAAGACACCUGUUACCACCUAAAAGUCAUCCAACCCAUAAAUCCAAAAUCAUAAAAAAGUUCCCAAAAAAAUUCAAUUUUUCUUAGGCACACUAUUUUAUUGUAAUUUCUUGCACAAAAUACUCCUAAAAGUGUAGAAAAAAAUUGACAGCCAAAUACGAGUAGAGGAAGACACCUGUUACCACCUAAAAGUCAUCCAACCCAAAAAUCCAAAAUCACAAAAAAGGUCCCAAAAAAAUUCAAUUUUUCUUAGGCACACUAUUUUAUUGUAAUUUCUUGCACAAAAUACUCCUAAAAGUGUAGAAAAAAAUUGACAGCCAAAUACGAGUAGAGGAAGACACCUGUUACCACCUAAAAGUCAUCCAACCCAAAAAUCCAAAAUCAUAAAAAAGUUCCCAAAAAAAUUCAAUUUUUCUUAGGCACACUAUUUUAUUGUAAUUUCUUGCACAAAAUACUCCUAAAAGUGUAGAAAAAAAUUGACAGCCAAAUACGAGUAGAGGAAGACACCUGUUACCACCUAAAAGUCAUCCAACCCAAAAAUCCAAAAUCACAAAAAAGGUCCCAAAAAAAUUCAAUUUUUCUUAGGCACACUAUUUUAUUGUAAUUUCUUGCACAAAAUACUCCUAAAAGUGUAGAAAAAAAUUGACAGCCAAAUACGAGUAGAGGAAGACACCUGUUACCACCUAAAAGUCAUCCAACCCAAAAAUCCAAAAUCAUAAAAAAGUUCCCAAAAAAAUUCAAUUUUUCUUAGGCACACUAUUUUAUUGUAAUUUCUUGCACAAAAUACUCCUAAAAGUGUAGAAAAAAAUUGACAGCCAAAUACGAGUAGAGGAAGACACCUGUUACCACCUAAAAGUCAUCCAACCCAAAAAUCCAAAAUCAUAAAAA